rnacentral:rRNA from 1 species
GUAAUCACAGGUCAGCAUACUGUGGUGAAUACGUUCCCGGGCCUUGUACACACCGCCCGUCACACCAUGAGAGUUGAGAAUACCCGAAGUCCAUGUCAAAGGUGGCCGAAGGUAGGCUUGAUGAUUGGGGUGAAGUCGUAACAAGGUAUC